rnacentral:rRNA from 1 species
CACCGCGGUUAUACGAGAGGCUCAAGUUGACAGACAGCGGCGUAAAGAGUGGUUAAGGAAACUUUUAAACUAAAGCCGAACGCCCUCAGAUCUGUAAUACGUUUCCGAAGGUAUGAAGCUCCACCACGAAGGUGGCUUUAUUCUCCCUGACUCCACGAAAGCUGUGAAA